rnacentral:rRNA from 1 species
CGGUUGAUCCUGCCGGACCCGACUGCUAUUUGGGUGAGGAUAAGCCAUGCGAGUUGAAUGGGAUANNNAAAGUUCCCAUAGCAAACUGCUCAGUAACACAUGAUCAACUUACCCUAUAGAGAAAAAUAACCUCGGGAAACUGAGGAUAAUGUUUCAUAACUGAAUUGGCUUGGAAAAGUUUUUCAGUGAGAGGGAUAAAAUAAAUGGUUUUUAUCUGCUAUAGGAUAGGAUCGUGUUCGAUUAUGGUUGUUGGUGAGGUAAUGGCUCACCAAGCCGAUAAUCGAUAGGGGCCGUGAGAGCGGGAGCCCCGAGAUGGGUACUGAGACAACGACCCAGGCCUUACGAGGCGCAGCAGGCGCGGAACCUCCGCAAUACACGAAAGUGUGACGGGGUUACCCAAAGUGUUCAAUUCUGAACUGUGGUAGGUGAGUAAUGUUCCCUACUAGAAAGGAGAGGGCAAGGCUGGUGCCAGCCGCCGCGGUAAAACCAGCUCUUCAAGUGGUCGGGAUAAUUAUUGGGCUUAAAGUGUCCGUAGCCGGUUUAGUAAGUUCCUGGUAAAAUCGGGUAGCUUAACUAUCUGUAUGCUAGGAAUACUGCUAUACUAGAGGGCGGGAGAGGUCUGAGGUACUACAGGGGUAGGGGUGAAAUCUUAUAAUCCUUGUAGGACCACCAGUGGCGAAGGCGUCAGACUGGAACGCGCCUGACGGUGAGGGACGAAAGCCAGGGGAGCGAACCGGAUUAGAUACCCGGGUAGUCCUGGCCGUAAACGAUGCAUACUAGGUGAUGGUACGGCCAUGAGCCGUAUCAGUGCCGUAGGGAAACCGUUAAGUGUGCCGCCUGGGAAGUACGGUCGCAAGGCUAAAACUUAAAGGAAUUGGCGGGGGAGCAC